GACGAACGCUGGCGGCGUGCCUAACACAUGCAAGUCGAGCGGAGAUGAUGUGAGGAAGUUUUCGGAUGGAAUCACAUUAUUUUAGCGGCGGACGGGUGAGUAACGCGUGAGCGACCAACCUUGCACAGGGGGAUAACGGACCGAAAGGUUCACUAAUACCGCAUGAGACCACGGUGUUGCAUGACACAGAGGUCAAAGGAGCAAUCCGGUGCAAGACGGGCUCGCGUCCGAUUAGGUAGUUGGAGGGGUAACGGCCCACCAAGCCUAUGAUCGGUAGCCGACCUGAGAGGGUGAUCGGCCACAUUGGAACUGAGAUACGGUCCAAACUCCUACGGGAGGCAGCAGUGGGGAAUAUUGGGCAAUGGGGGAAACCCUGACCCAGCAACGCCGCGUGAAGGAAGAAGGUUUUCGGAUUGUAAACUUCUGUCCUUGGUGAAGAGAAGAAGACGGUAGCCAAGGAGGAAGCCCCGGCUAACUACGUG
rnacentral:rRNA from 1 species